CCUACGGGGGGCAGCAGUGGGGAAUAUUGGGCAAUGGGCGCAAGCCUGACCCAGCAACGCCGCGUGAAGGAAGAAGGCUUUCGGGUUGUAAACUUCUUUUGUCAGGGACGAAGCAAGUGACGGUACCUGAAGAAUAAGCCACGGCUAACUACGUGCCAGCAGCCGCGGUAAUACGUAGGUGGCAAGCGUUACCCGGAUUUACUGGGGGUAAAGGGCGUGUAGGCGGGACAGCAAGUCAGAUGUGAAAACCACGGGCUCAACCUGUGGCCUGCAUUUGAAACUGUAGUUCUAGAGUACUGGAGAGGCAGACGGAAUUCUUGGUGUAGCGGUGAAAUGCGUAGAGAUUAGGAGGAACACCAGUGGCGAAGGCGGUCUGCUAGACAGCAACUGACGCUGAGGCGCGAAAGCGUGGGGAGCAAACAGGAUUAGAUACCCUGGUAGUC
rnacentral:rRNA from 1 species